AUUGAACGCCGGCGGCAGGCUUAACACAUGCAAGUCGAGCGGGGAGAUGGUGCUUGCACUAUCACUUAGCGGCGGACGGGUGAGUAAUGCUUAGGAAUCUGCCUAUUAGUGGGGGACAACAUCUCGAAAGGGAUGCUAAUACCGCAUACGUACUACGGGAGAAAGCAGGGGAUCACUUGUGACCUUGCGCUAUUAGAUGAGCCUAAGUCGGAUUAGCUAGUUGGUGGGGGAAAGGCCUACCAAGGCGACGAUCUGUAGCGGGUCUGAGAGGAUGAUCCGCCACACUGGGACUGAGACACGGCCCAGACUCCUACGGGAGGCAGCAGUGGGGAAUAUUGGACAAUGGGGGGGACCCUGAUCCAGCCAUGCCGCGUGUGUGAAGAAGGCCUUAUGGUUGUAAAGCACUUUAAGCGAGGAGGAGGCUCUUUUGGUUAAUACCCAAGAUGAGUGGACGUUACUCGCAGAAUAAGCACCGGCUAACUCUGUGCCAGCAGCCGCCGCUG
rnacentral:rRNA from 1 species